AAAAAAAACCAAACUUUAGUUAAGAUAGAUCCAACUAAAAAAUCUGUUUGGAGCUUUGAUUCGAGUUAAAUAAAUAAAACUGAAAUUCAGGGUGGAGAAGCGAUGAACAGAAUACAUAAAUUUGGAAACUCGGUGGUGCACCACCACCAGAGAAAUCUCUCUGAUAACCUUCUCGACAUGUGUUCCUCCUGUGGCAGAUGGCUCUAAUCCACUUGUUUCCCACACUUUCAGCCAUCCUCAUUUUAAAGUUUUGAACUUUCAAUUAUUUUGUAAAAAGAUGUAUUAGUCACCGAGAUUUCUAGAUUAUUCUCGAUCUGGUGUUUUGAUUGCUCGGCGAAGUUGUUUCGUGUGUUUACUAAUUCAACGUAGUGGUGUGUGUACACAUGAUUACGGAUACUAUGCUGCUGGUGGCCAACUCUGCAAGGUUCUGGAAACCGGAGUUAGCGGCGGAGACUAGAAACCGGAGUAAGCAGCGGCGAUGGUUCUUAUGAAGGGGUAAUUGGACUACAGUAACCGGAGGUGAACAGUGACCAAAGAGUCAACUAAGGCGAGUCAGAGCCACCACCACAAGACUGAAUCAAGAAGAAGAAGAAUGCAUGUCUUCAACUUAGGUUCGUUGCUAGGCGAUAAAUUAGUUAGCGAGCUAAUAGAUAUAAGUUUUUGUAUUCAUUUUUUUUUUGGAUAAUGUUAUAUUUACUCACAUAGGUACAAUUCAUAUAGUUGAUAUUUAUGUUAGC
rnacentral:lncRNA from 1 species